rnacentral:rRNA from 1 species
UACGGAGGAUGCGAGCGUUAUCCGGAUUUAUUGGGUUUAAAGGGCGCGUAGGCGGACGCUUAAGUCAGCGGUAAAAUUGCGGGGCUCAACCCCGUCGAGCCGUUGAAACUGGGUGCCUUGAGUGGGCGAGAAGUACGCGGAAUGCGUGGUGUAGCGGUGAAAUGCAUAGAUAUCACGCAGAACUCCGAUUGCGAAGGCAGCGUACCGGCGCCCAACUGACGCUGAAGCACGAAGGCGUGGGUAUCGAACAGG